rnacentral:lncRNA from 1 species
GAGCACUCAGGAUGCCUUCCAGCUUUUCCAUGUGGGAGCAAGAAGUGAUGGUGAUCCUGGAGGAAGAGUCAACAUUCGCUCUUUUGAGUUUAUUUAGAAGACAGAGCUGCAUCAAGACUGUGAACUCUCUGAGGGCAGGACCAUAUCUCGUUUUCACGCCCACUGUCCUGCACAGAUUUGGCCCAGAACAGCUGCUCAAGCACACAUCUGCUGAUGGACUGAAUGAAUGAUCAAGGGAAUAAGUGACUGAUGAUGUGAAAAUACAUAGCACAGAGACGUAAACUCAAAUGCCGACAAGAGUCAGGAUGGUUAAGUGAGUAACAGUUCAGAAAGAAGGAAAAUUGGAAGGUGGGACUUUGGGCACAUGGAGAACACAUGUCCUGUCAGUGGGGACAGCUGCUAUUCAGCUUUGAGUGACUGUCACUUUGUGGGAAUUCUAUCCAUGACAGCUGGACCUCUUGACUUUUUAAAAAAGAAAAACCUAGGAGUUCCCGUCAUGGCUCAGUGGUUAAUGAAUCCGACUAGGAACCAUGAGGUUGCAGGUUCAAUCCCUGGUCUUGCUCAGUGGGUUAAGGAUCCGGUGUUGCCAUGAGCUGUGGUAUAGGUCGCAGACGCAGCUCGGAUCUGGCAUUGCUGUGGCUGUGGCAUAGGCCAGCGGCUACAGCUCUGAUUAGACCCCUAGCCUGGAAACCUCCACAUGCCUUGGGUGCAGCCCUAGAAAAGAUAGAAAGACCAAAAAAAAAAAAGAAAAAAGAAAAAGAAAAACUAACCCAGACUCUACAUUAUAAACAACUGUUCCUAGUCGGGUUUGUUUCCACUGCGCCAAGAUGGGAACUCCCCACAUUAUGUAAAAUUUCUUGAUUUUUUAAUUUCUUUUUCUUUUGUUUUUUCUUUUUCUUAGAGCUGCACCUGUGACAUAUAGUAGUUCCCAGGCUAGGGAUCAAAUCUGAGCUACAACUGUCAGCCAUAGCCACAGCUACAGCAACACCAGAUCCGAGGCACAUCUGCGAACUACACUGCAGCUCGCAGCAACCCUGGAUCCUUAACUCACUGAGAGAGGCCAGGGGUUGAACCUGGAUCGUUAUGGAUACUAGCUGGAUUCAUUACCGCUGAGCCACAAUAGAACUCCUUGAUUUUUAAAUUUGGUCAAUGAUAUAAAAUAUUUGAAAAUGAGAUAUAGGUCCCUCAAACACGUCCAGGUGACAUAACUCUAUUACCAGGAAUAUGUGGUCACCCCAUUACUUGGAGCCGAAGCAGGACAUAGCACAGAGUACUUCCAGAGAGAGGCAGAGGCUGCCCAGGUCCCCAGAGGUCCCCAUAGGGUGUGCUCUUGAAUGUUCAUGGAUUAGUAACAAGAAUAGUCUGGUAGGGAGUUCCCGUCAUGGCUUGGCAGAAACAAAUCUGACUAGCAGCCCUGAGGACGCAGGUUCUAUCCCUGGCCUUGCUCAGUGGUUUAAGGAUCCAGCAUUGCCGUGAGCUGUGGUGUAGGUCGCAGACAUGGCUUGGAUCUGGCAUUGCUGUGGCUGUGUCAUAGGCCGGCAGCUGUAGUUCUGAUUCAACCCCUAACCUGGGAACCUCCAUAUGCCACCAGUGCAGCCCUUAAAAAAGACAAAAGAAAAAAAACAGAAUUGUCUGGUAGGUUCAUGUCGUUCCUUAGGCAGGAGACUUGGGUUCUAGUGCUGGCAGACUUGGGGGGAACAGCCUUCUAUUCCUGAAUCUGUCAAGGAGGAGCAUUAAGGCCUGACCUCUCUUGUGGGAAAGGUUAAUAUGUUGAUGAAUGGGACAGUCCUUUAUAAUCUCCAAGCCCAAGUUUGGUUGGUGUCCUUCCCAGAACUCUCCCUGCUACCACUGAAGGCUGUUUGCAGAGCAUAAGGUUUUUCGAGGCUCUCUUCCCUUCUCUCCGCUAAGCCCUCUGAGCCUGCUCUGGUUGUCAGACUCCUAUUUGGGGGCCUUUGCCAGGUGCCUGGCAGCUUCAUGGGUGGUGUGCUCAGCCUUGAUGUGCCCCUCUGGGCUGCCACCUUCUGGACCCCUCAGCCUGGGUUUGCAGCCUUGAGCUCAUGAAUCAGAGAGGCGGCUAUGAAUUUAGUUCCUGCUUUGGAGGCACUCACAGCCCAGGGGAGGCAGAACCUACUCCAUAACAACACAGAUGUUAAGGAUCAGCGGCAUUCCUUUGUUUACCAAGCACCAUUCCUUUUCUUCCUGGGCAUGUAGCCAGACUCCCUUGCAGUUGGGUGAGAUCAUGUGACUGAGUUCUGACUAAUGAAAUGUGGGCAAAAGUAUUGUAGACUGAUUCCUGGCUUGGCCCAUGAAAACCUCCUGUGCAAUUCUCAACAUACUUCCUCUUUCACCUUCCACUGGAUAGAUGGGGAGAACUCCAAGACCUGAGAGAAGUAGGAGCCACAAGAUGAAAAGGGAUUGGGUCCCUGAAUGCACAGAGUAGAAAUUUCCAGUCUCCAAGUGAGAUGGGUUGUACUGUGAUGUGGGGAACAACCAUUACUGUGUCAUGCCACUGAGACUUUGAGGUUGUUUCUUACAUCAGGUAGCCUACCCUGACUGAUACAACGCCCGAAGAGGAGGUGUCGUGCAAACUACCCCAGGAAUCCUUGGGCCUCCUGGGGAACUCUCUGCUGGGGGAAGGGCUGGACUCUGACUCAGAGCUCAUUAAGGAAGCUAUAGGCUCUCUACCAGGGUAAGAGAAGUGUGGAGCUGGGGAGUUCAGAUCUGCUUCCGCAUACAUUACAGUAAACACAGUUAAAUGGAUUUUGUGAUGCCCUUUGAGGUGGAUAGAAAGAACUUGAGGCAUGAAUAAUUGUUUCCUGGAGUUCCUGUCGUGGCGCAGUGGAAACAAAUCCUACUGGGAACCAUGAGAUUGGGGGUUCGAUCCCUGGCCUCGCUCAGUGGGUUAGGGAUCUGGUGUUGUUGUGAGCUGUGGUGUAGGUCGGAUCUGGCUUUGCUGCGGCUUGGAUCUGGCGUUGCUGCGGCUUUGGCGUAGGCUGGCAGCUACAGCUCCGAUUUGACCCCUAGCCUGAGAACCUCCACAUGCCGCGGGUGCAGCCCUAAAAGGAGAAAAAGACAAAAAAAAAAAAAAAAAAAAAAAAAAA